UACAGAGGUCUCGAGCGUUAGGCGGAAUCACUGGGCUUAAAGCGUGUGUAGGCGGGCCGUUAAGUAUCUUGUGAAAUCCCCCGGCUCAACCGGGGAAUGGCUGGAUAUACUGGCGGUCUUGAGCGAUCUAGGGGCAGAUGGAACAAGUGGUGGAGCGGUGAAAUGCGUAGAUAUCACUUGGAACGCCAAAGGUGAAAACAGUCUGCUGGGGAUCUGCUGACGCUGAGACACGAAAGCCAGGGGAGCGAACGGG
rnacentral:rRNA from 1 species